GUGUUGUGUUUUUGUAUUUUGUUUUUGUUUUUUGUGCCCCAUUUGAAUUAUGACCAUUUAUGGAAUUCUGGUGCAAAUAAUCAUCGUCUGCAAUUAGUAUUCGACACUUGAAAGAAAUCAACAAAAAAAAUAAAAAUAAAAUAGAGUAAAAUUGAAAUAAAAUUGUAGAAGACAACUCGAUCGCAAUGGCGCCGCCCACUGAACAGCCGGAGGAUGACUUUGUGACGAAGAUACCUUCAAUAAUUGGAUUCUUGAACUUGGACUAAUUGGCAAUUGAACUUCAGGCCGUGGACGUGGACUGAAUGCAUCAUAAAUUAAUUAAUUAAGGCUGAAUAUGGGCGGAAUCAUAAACCACAAGAAUUAUGCCGACGCUACAAAGUUUUAGUUGUUAAGUGCAUAAAUUUUGUUGCAAAAUAAAUGCGAUGAGUUAAUAAUUAAAA